CCCUUAGAUGUUCUGGGCCGCACACGCGCUACACUGAAGGAGGCAGCGUGUACUCCUGGAUCGAAAGAUUUGGGUAACCCGCGAAUCUCCUUCGUGCUAGGGAUUGAGGUUUGCAAUUAUCCUUCAUGAACGAGGAAUUCCCAGUAAGUGCAAGUCAUAAGCUUGCGCUGACUACGUCCCUGCCCUUUGUACACACCGCCCGUCGCUACUACCGAUUGAAUGAUUUAGUGAGGACUUCGGACUGGGACCGAUGCGGCUUUCGGGCUGCGUCGGUAUUCUGGAAAGAUGUCCAAACUGGAUCAUUUAGAGGAAGUAAAAGUCGUANCA
rnacentral:rRNA from 1 species